rnacentral:rRNA from 1 species
GAUGAACGCUAGCGGCAGGCUUAACACAUGCAAGUCGAGGGGCAGCACGGGUAGCAAUACCUGGUGGCGACCGGCAAACGGGUGCGGAACACGUACGCAAUCUACCAUUGUCUGGAGCAUAGCCCGAAGAAAUUCGGAUUAAUACCCCAUAACAUAAUUGAAAGGCAUCUUUCGGAUAUUAAAACUCCGGUGGACAAUGAUGAGCGUGCGUCCCAUUAGCUAGUUGGUAGGGUAACGGCCUACCAAGGCGACGAUGGGUAGCUGGUGUGAGAGCACGACCAGCCACACAGGCACUGAGACACGGGCCCGACUCCUACGGGAGGCAGCAGUGAGGAAUAUUGGUCAAUGGACGCAAGUCUGAACCAGCCAUGCCGCGUGAAGGAUGAAGGCCUUCUGGGUUGUAAACUUCUUUUACUAGGGAAGAAACCUCCGAUUUCUAUUGGAGCCGACGGUACCUAGGGAAUAAGCACCGGCUAACUCCGUGCCAGCCGCCGCCGUAAAAC